rnacentral:rRNA from 1 species
UACGAAGGGGGCUAGCGUUGUUCGGAAUCACUGGGCGUAAAGCGCACGUAGGCGGAUUGUUAAGUCGGGGGUGAAAUCCUGAGGCUCAACCUCAGAACUGCCUUCGAUACUGGCAACCUCGAGUCCGGAAGAGGUUGGUGGAACAGCUAGUGUAGAGGUGAAAUUCGUAGAUAUUAGCUAGAACACCAGUGGCGAAGGCGGCCAACUGGUCCGGUACUGACGCUGAGGUGCGAAAGCGUGGGGAGCAAACAGG